rnacentral:rRNA from 1 species
AACGAACGUUAGCGGCGCGCUUAACACAUGCAAGUCGCACGAGAGAGGGCUUCGGCCCCGGUAAAGUGGCGCACGGGUGAGUAACACGUGGGUAACCUGCCCUCGAGCGGGGGAUAACAUUCCGAAAGGAGUGCUAAUACCGCAUAGGACCACGACCUCGAAAGGGGUUGAGGUGAAAGCUGGCCUCUGUACACAUGCUAGCACUUGAGGAUGGGCCCGCGGGGCAUCAGGUAGUUGGUGAGGUAAUGGCUCACCAAGCCUAAGACGCCUAGCUGGUCUGAGAGGAUGAUCAGCCACACUGGAACUGAGACACGGUCCAGACUCCUACGGGAGGCAGCAGUGGGGAAUCUUGCGCAAUGGACGAAAGUCUGACGCAGCGACGCCGCGUGGGUGAUGAAGGCCUUCGGGUCGUAAAGACCUCGUGGGAGGAGAAGAAU